UGCCGGUGUGGGCGGCGGCGAGGGCGGGGGCGUCGUUGACGCCGUCGCCGACGACCAGGACCUUGGCGCCGCCGUUCUGGAGUUCGUGGACGGCGGC
rnacentral:tRNA from 1 species